UAUGAAACUUUAAAUCUAGCCUCAUAAAAAUAAUUCUGACUUAUCCUCUAGUUUUCAUAAUUUUCUGACACUGUGCAUUUUCUGCUAAUUUAUCUGUUCCGUCUCCAACAGAAAAUUCUAAAUCUUCUGUUUUCAUUCUGAUUUCAGCACAAGUUACUUCUAACUUAUGUUUUACUUCUCUAAAUCCAUUAAAAAUAGUAUCUCAUACUAUUUUUAUUUAUUUUUAUUUUUAUACCAAACUCUGGUAUGUUACAUUCUCCAUCCCAUAAACGGAAUUUCGUUCGCGAAAUUCAAACCAUACCUCAAUUCAGCUCCACGAGCAAUUGAGGGUACCAACUCAUUCUUCCACUCC
rnacentral:lncRNA from 1 species